ACACGUAGGGGGCGAGCGUUGUUCGGAAUCAUUGGGCGUAAAGGGCGUGCAGGCGGUCCUGCAAGUCCGGCGUGAAAGACCCCGGCCCAACCGGGGGGACGCGCUGGACACCUCAGGGCUGGAGUACCGGAGGGGGUGCCGGAAUUCCAGGGGUAGGGGGGAAAUCUGUAGAUAGCUGGAAGAACACCAAUGGCGAAGGAAGGCAUCUGGCCAUGUACUGACGCUGAGACGCGAAGGUGCGGGGAGCAAACAGGUUUAGAUACCCUGGUAGUCCGCACAGUAAACGAUGUGCACCAGGUGGCGGGGGGUCGACCCCCGGUACCGUAGCUAACGCAUUAAGUGCACCGCCUGGGGAGUAUGCUCGCAAGGGUGAAACUCAAAGGAAUUGGCGGGG
rnacentral:rRNA from 1 species